UACAGAGGGUGCAAGCGUUAAUCGGAAUUACUGGGCGUAAAGCGCGCGUAGGUGGUUUGUUAAGUUGAAUGUGAAAUCCCCGGGCUCAACCUGGGAACUGCAUGCAAAACUGGCAAAGCUAGAGUAUGGUAGAGGGUGGUGGAAUUUCCUGUGUAGCUGGUGAAAUGCGUAGAUAUAGGAAGGAACACCAGUGGCGGAGGCGACCACCUGGACUGAUACUGACACUGAGGUGCGAAAGCGUUGGGGAGCAAACAGGA
rnacentral:rRNA from 1 species